GGAGAGGUGGCUGAGUUGGUCUAAGGCGGUGGUUUGCUAAACCAUUGAAGGGCUUUUAACCCUUCCGCAGGUUCGAAUCCUGUUCUCUCCGCCA
rnacentral:tRNA from 1 species